rnacentral:rRNA from 1 species
CGUGCCUAACACAUGCAAGUCGAGCGAUUCACUUCGGUGAAGAGCGGCGGAACGGGUGAGUAACGCGUGGGUAACCUGCCUCAUACACAUGGAUAACAUACCGAAAGGUAUGCUAAUACAGGAUAAUAUAAGAGAUUCACAUGUAUUUCUUAUCAAAGCUCCGGCGGUAUGAGAUGGACCCGCGUCUGAUUAGCUAGUUGGUAAGGUAACGGCUUACCAAGGCGACGAUCAGUAGCCGACCUGAGAGGGUGAUCGGCCACAUUGGAACUGAGACACGGUCCAAACUCCUACGGGAGGCAGCAGUGGGGAAUAUUGCACAAUGGGCGAAAGCCUGAUGCAGCAACGCCGCGUGAGUGAUGAAGGCCUUCGGGUCGUAAAACUCUGUCCUCAAGGAAGAUAAUGACGGUACUUGAGGAGGAAGCCCCGGCUAACUACGUGCCAGCCGCCGC